rnacentral:rRNA from 1 species
AUCUACACCUAUAAGCGCCAGGGAAUUACGAGCUAUGCUUAAAACCCAAAGGAUUUGACGGUGUCCCACCCCCCUAGAGGAGCCUGUUCUAUAAUCGAUGAUCCCCGCUACACCCGACCACUUCUUGCUUAUCAGUCUGUAUACCUCCGUCGAAAGCUUACCAUGUGAACGCCACCCACAGUAGGUUCAAUGACCCCCGUCAAUACGUCAGGUCAAGGUGCAGCUUAAGAAGUGGGAAGUGAUGGGCUACAAUUUCUAAUCUAGAACAAACGAAAGACUAUGUGAAACCCUAGUCACGAAGGCGGAUUUAGCAGUAAAAAGAAAAUAGAGUGUUCUUUUUAAUCUGGCUCUGGGACGCGUACACACCGCCCGUCACCCUCUGCAGUCAA